rnacentral:rRNA from 1 species
UACAGAGGUCUCAAGCGUUGUUCGGAUUCAUUGGGCGUAAAGGGCGCGUAGGCGGCGGGGUCAGUCGGGUGUGAAAUCUUGGGGCUUAACCCCGAAACGGCACUCGAAACUGCCCGGCUGGAGGGCCGGAGAGGAGAUCGGAAUUCACGGUGUAGCAGUGAAAUGCGUAGAGAUGUGGAGGAACACCAGUGGCGAAGGCGACUACCUGGCCUGUUUCUUGACGCUGAGGCGCGAAAGCUAGGGGAGCAAACGGG